rnacentral:lncRNA from 1 species
GACACUUUGAAGAAAUAGAAAAUGAUUUUUAAAAGAUUGCUUUAGAUAAAUAGAACUUGAGCUAGCAAAAGUGGCCCUUUCCAGACGUCCAGCCAGGAAACCCCAGGUGCAAGUGAAUCAGCAGACAUGUUGUCUCAUCUGAGACGGUACAAGAUCCGUGUGUCCACACACAGCCGGUCGUGGCUGAGUUCGUGGCUAUGCCUUCCUUCAGAUGUGGCCGGGCUCAGGCUGAUUCAGGGAGAAACACUGCUUCUCAUUGAGUCACAAGGCCGUCCUGGAGCUGUGCUGGACUUUGCUUGGGAACAACUUUGGAUAAUCAGAAAAUUCAAGAAUUCAUCUGUCUGUAUUCUUGAGAGUUUUUUCUGACUCACACGGCGGCAGGCGUCAAGGACAAUAUCUAGCUAAUAACAGAACUUUCCUUAUAAGUUAUGAAUGUAAGCAGCAAAC